AUGAAAAGUGAGAUCAAGGGGCUAAAAACAUUGAUUAGGAAUGAGUCACCGUGCGCUUACUACAUCCAUUGCUUUGCACACACUCUAUUGGUUCUUGUUGUCGUUGCCAAAGCUAAUAGUGGGUCGGUGUGGUCUUUUCAUCAAGUCUCUUAGCUAUUGAAUAUCAUUGGACUUUCUUGUAAGUUCCAUGACAUGCUUCCAAAUGUUAGAGCGCAAGAAAUUUUGAAAGCACUUGAAGAUGGUGAAGCACAAAGUGGACGUGGAUUAAACCAAAUGAUGGGGUUAGCCCAGCCAAUGGAAACUUGUUGGGGUUCUCAUUACAAAACCACUGUGCACAUCAUUACUAUGUAUUCCACAAUCCGUGUAGUUCUCAUGAAGAUUGGAAAAGAUCCCGUACAUAGAAAUGAUUGGCUAAAAGUACAUACAAUUGUGGAAGCUUUUGAGUCAUAAGUGUUUCUUUUCAAUGCACACUUGAUGCUCGUCAUACUUGCAUAAACUGAUGAGUUAUUUCAAUGUUUGCAAAUGAGAGACCAUGACAUUAUUAAUUCAAUGAGCCUUGUUGAUUUGGCUAAGGAGAGGAUGCAACAUAUGAGAGAUCAUGGAUGGGAUGGAUCUCAAGAAAUAGUGAUGUCCUUUUGCAUUAAGAAUGGAAUCAAAAUUCCUCUAUCGGAUGCUAGGUAUGGUAAUCGUGGAAGAUCACAUCGUUUUUAUGCAAAUCAAACAAUUCAUGAUCAUUAUAGAAGAGAAGUUUUGGUGUCAUUGCUAUUAUUUUGCAAGAGCUUGAUAGUCGCUUUUAUGAGAUUAAUAUGGAGUUUGUUCAUUGCAUGUCGGCUCUGA
rnacentral:rRNA from 1 species